rnacentral:rRNA from 1 species
GAUGAACGCUGGCGGCGUGCCUAAUACAUGCAAGUCGAGCGAACGGACGAGAAGCUUGCUUCUCUGAUGUUAGCGGCGGACGGGUGAGUAACACGUGGAUAACCUACCUAUAAGACUGGGAUAACUUCGGGAAACCGGAGCUAAUACCGGAUGAUAUUUUGAACCGCAUGGUUCAAUAGUGAAAGACGGUCUUGCUGUCACUUAUAGAUGGAUCCGCGCUGCAUUAGCUAGUUGGUAAGGUAACGGCUUACCAAGGCAACGAUGCAUAGCCGACCUGAGAGGGUGAUCGGCCACACUGGAACUGAGACACGGUCCAGACUCCUACGGGAGGCAGCAGUAGGGAACCUUCCGCAAUGGGCGAAAGCCUGACGGAGCAACGCCGCGUGAGUGAUGAAGGUCUUCGGAUCGUAAACCUCUGUUAUUAGGGAAGAACAUAUGUGUAAGUAACUGUGCACAUCUUGACGGUACUUAAUCAGAAAGCCACGGCUAACUACGU